UACGAAGGGUGCAAACGUUGCUCGGAAUUAUUGGGCGUAAAGAGCUCGUAGGCGGUCUGUCGCGUCGGCUGUGAAAACCCGGGGCUCAACCCCGGGCCUGCAGUCGAUACGGGCAGACUAGAGUGCGGUAGGGGAGACUGGAAUUCCUGGUGUAGCGGUGAAAUGCGCAGAUAUCAGGAGGAACACCGGUGGCGAAGGCGGGUCUCUGGGCCGUAACUGACGCUGAGGCGCGAAAGCGUGGGGAGCAAACAGG
rnacentral:rRNA from 1 species